GACGAACGCUGGCGGCGUGCUUAACACAUGCAAGUCGAACGGAAAGGCCCUGCUUUGGUGGGGUGCUCGAGUGGCGAACGGGUGAGUAACACGUGAGUAACCUGCCCUUGACUUUGGGAUAACUUCAGGAAACUGGGGCUAAUACCGGAUAGGAGCUCCUGCUGCAUGGUGGGGGUUGGAAAGUUUCGGCGGUUGGGGAUGGACUCGCGGCUUAUCAGCUUGUUGGUGGGGUAGUGGCUUACCAAGGCUUUGACGGGUAGCCGGCCUGAGAGGGUGACCGGCCACAUUGGGACUGAGCUACGGCCCAGACUCCUACGGGAGGCAGCAGUGGGGAAUAUUGCACUAUGGGCGGAAGCCUGAUGCAGCAACGCCGCGUGCGGGAUGACGGCCUUCGGGUUGUAAACCGCUUUCGCCUGUGACGAAGCGUGAGUGACGGUAAUGGGUAAAGAAGCACCGGCUAACUACGUG
rnacentral:rRNA from 1 species